AUUGAACGCUGGCGGCAUGCCUUACACAUGCAAGUCGAACGGCAGCACGGUAACUUGCUGCUGUUGGCGAGUGGCGAAGGGGUGAGUAUUACAUCGGCACAUGUCCCGACGUGGUGGUUGGCCCGGAGGAAGCCGGAUUUAUACUACUAACGCACAACGGCUGAAAGCGGGGGCCCUGGGGCUCCCGCGCUUGCGGGAUGGCAUGUGGCGAUUUAGGAUUAGGGAGUUGGGGGGGUAAAGGCCGACCAAGGCGACGAUCCGUAGCUGGUCUGAGAGGAUGACCAGCCACACUGGGACUGAGACACGGUCCAGACUCCUACGGGAGGCAGCAGUGGGGAAUUUUGGACAAUGGGCGAAAGCCUGAUCCAGCAAUGCCGCGUGGGUGAAGAAGGCCUUCGGGUUGUAAAGCCCUUUUGUCCGGAAAGAAAACCUUGGCCCUAAUACGGUCGUGUGAUGACGGUACCGGAAGAAUAAGCACCGGCUAACUACGUG
rnacentral:rRNA from 1 species